rfam:Glycine soja cultivar W05 scaffold3975_10, whole genome shotgun sequence.
GCCAAUGAUGAAAGUCUUCAAUUUGGCUGAAAUGCAAAAUAAUUUAUUGCAUUUCUCUGUUGAAUAUCUUGAUCUAGGACGGUCUGAGGC